UGAUGAACGCUAGCUACAGGCUUAACACAUGCAAGUCGAGGGGCAUCAGGAAGAAAGCUUGCUUUCUUUGCUGGCGACCGGCGCACGGGUGAGUAACACGUAUCCAACCUGCCCUUUACUCGGGGAUAGCCUUUCGAAAGAAAGAUUAAUACCCGAUAGCAUAAUGAUUCCGCAUGGUUUCAUUAUUAAAGGAUUCCGGUAAAGGAUGGGGAUGCGUUCCAUUAGGUUGUUGGUGAGGUAACGGCCCACCAAGCCUUCGAUGGAUAGGGGUUCUGAGAGGAAGGUCCCCCACAUUGGAACUGAGACACGGUCCAAACUCCUACGGGAGGCAGCAGUGAGGAAUAUUGGUCAAUGGGCGCUAGCCUGAACCAGCCAAGUAGCGUGAAGGAUGAAGGCUCUAUGGGUCGUAAACUUCUUUUAUAUAAGAAUAAAGUGCAGUAUGUAUACUGUUUUGUAUGUAUUAUAUGAAUAAGGAUCGGCUAACUCCGUGCCAGCAGCCGCGGUAAUACGGAGGAUCCGAGCGUUAUCCGGAUUUAUUGGGUUUAAAGGGAGCGUAGGUGGACUGGUAAGUCAGUUGUGAAAGUUUGCGGCUCAACCGUAAAAUUGCAGUUGAUACUGUCAGUCUUGAGUACAGUAGAGGUGGGCGGAAUUCGUGGUGUAGCGGUGAAAUGCUUAGAUAUCACGAAGAACUCCGAUUGCGAAGGCAGCUCACUGGACUGCAACUGACACUGAUGCUCGAAAGUGUGGGUAUCAAACAGGAUUAGAUACCCUGGUAGUCCACACAGUAAACGAUGAAUACUCGCUGUUUGCGAUAUACAGUAAGCGGCCAAGCGAAAGCAUUAAGUAUUCCACCUGGGGAGUACGCCGGCAACGGUGAAACUCAAAGGAAUUGACGGGGGCCCGCACAAGCGGAGGAACAUGUGGUUUAAUUCGAUGAUACGCGAGGAACCUUACCCGGGCUUAAAUUGCAGUGGAAUGAUGUGGAAACAUGUCAGUGAGCAAUCACCGCUGUGAAGGUGCUGCAUGGUUGUCGUCAGCUCGUGCCGUGAGGUGUCGGCUUAAGUGCCAUAACGAGCGCAACCCUUAUCUUUAGUUACUAACAGGUUAUGCUGAGGACUCUAGAGAGACUGCCGUCGUAAGAUGUGAGGAAGGUGGGGAUGACGUCAAAUCAGCACGGCCCUUACGUCCGGGGCUACACACGUGUUACAAUGGGGGGUACAGAAGGCAGCUAGCGGGUGACCGUAUGCUAAUCCCAAAAUCCUCUCUCAGUUCGGAUCGAAGUCUGCAACCCGACUUCGUGAAGCUGGAUUCGCUAGUAAUCGCGCAUCAGCCACGGCGCGGUGAAUACGUUCCCGGGCCUUGUACACACCGCCCGUCAAGCCAUGGGAGCCGGGGGUACCUGAAGUACGUAACCGCAAGGAUCGUCCUAGGGUAA
rnacentral:rRNA from 1 species